UGAUGAUCCUGCUUCGGCUGGCUUAUAUCCAUAAACAUGCUGAGCUAGGAUUCCUACUAUCGCAGGAGCAAAUGACGCUAGUGUAGACUCGAAAGAGCAAUCCAAUGCAUAUAUGCUUGUUCGAUGUUUCUCAGAUUCAUUGUCAAAGCGGGGAUCAUUUGCAAAGAGACCCACCAGAAUGCCAACUAUGACACUGACUAUGCCAACCAAAUGGAAAGCAAGCCUCCAACCAGGAAUUCCCAUGAACGAUGUUGAGGCUAUUAAGACGGAGCAGAGGUUUCCGAGAAUUGAGCCUAGGCCUCCUGUGAGCUGUAACCACCCAAAUGCUGUGCCACGGUUGCUGUCGUCAGUGGAGUCUGCGACGAGGGAUUGUACUGCAGAAAGAGGCAGUAACAGAUGUUUCCAGAAAAGUCAACGUGAGCUAGAUCUUCGCAAAUGAAUCCAGAAGAGGGGCAAGGGAGAGAAACAAAAAAAACUCACAAACUACAACACAAAAGAAAGAAACAGGGAAUGCUGAUAAGAAACCUGGAAGAAGGUGGAGGAGAAGGCGACGAGGAAAGUGGCAGCAGACCAAAGAAAAGCGCCAAGAGCAAUGAUAUGGGCCCGGUUAUGGCGGACAGCAAGGUAAGCGGCAAGUGGAUAACAUAAGGAUUGAACAAUGGAUCUAAACAGGGUCAAUGAGCCAAGCCCAGUAGGGUCUGUAUGAAGGGCUGCACCAACCUCUUUGUAAACUCCAGGAAGCAAUGACUCAUCUGCUCGCUCCAUUAUUCCUGCUAAGUUUACCAGCACCAUUGUUAGUGUCUCUGAUCUCAUUUUGGUUCUUUUUUCUUCUUUUUGUUUUGUUCUAGUCUUCAAAAAUUAGCAAGUUAGGGGAAAGGAGUUGGGGAAGAGAAAACAAAACCAGUGGAGGUGACAGAAAUAGGGGGUGAUUUGUUUGUUGAUGACUUGGACUUUAAUGUGUGUUUUAAGGUUUUUUGAUUGGUGGGUUGGUUCCCAACAUGAUAUGGGGUCCUCCAUACAAUUUCCCAAGGAAUAAUAAAGGGGGAUCUUCCAAUUUUUACUCAUUCUUUCGUAACUAGGUACUGUGAUACUCAAGCAAAAAAAGAAAAAAGCGAGUUCAUCUCCAUGGACUGUGAUGAAUAAAAAAUGUACAUCAACUCAAGUAGCAAUGGUGUAAAUUGUGCUGAAAAUGGUAAACAGAACGCUGUGCCAAAAUAGUACUUUUUUUCCGUCUAAUGACACUACACAUUUUAUAGAAAGAUUGUACUGUGGAUGUUAGCUAGCUUAGUUUAUAAAGUUAUGUUAAUAUGGUAUCCAAA